rnacentral:piRNA from 1 species
UAAACAAUGUCAAGAUAGUGGCAAUACUUU